GAUGAACGCUGGCGGCGUGCUUAACACAUGCAAGUCGAGCGGGCAAUUUAUCUAGCACUGAUUACUUCAAAUGGAAAUCAUAAGUGUAAUCAUGAAUUUCUACCUUUAAUAAGGGAAAAAAGAAUUCAUGUACGCAAAUAGUGAUAACACAUGAAAGUGGAGUGAUGAGUGCUGGAUAAAUUGCUAGCGGCGGACGGGUGCGUAACACGUGGGUAACCUGCCCCUAUCACUGGGAUAACACACUGAAAAGUGUGCUAAUACCAGAUAAUAUAAGCUUUUGGCAUCCAUUAGCUUAUCAAAGAAUUUCGGAUAGGGAUGGGCCCGCGUCUGAUUAGCUAGUUGGUGAGGUAACGGCUCACCAAGGCAACGAUCAGUAGCCGACCUGAGAGGGUGAUCGGCCACACUGGAACUGAGACACGGUCCAGACUCCUACGGGAGGCAGCAGUAGGAAUUUUACGGCAAUGGGGGAAACCCUGACCG
rnacentral:rRNA from 1 species